GAUGAACGCUGGCGGCGUGCCUAAUACAUGCAAGUCGAGCGAACCGACGAGGAGCUUGCUCCUUUGAGGUUAGCGGCGGACGGGUGAGUAACACGUGGGCAACCUGCCCUUAAGACUGGGAUAACAUCGAGAAAUCGGUGCUAAUACCGGAUAACUGAUUAGACCGCAUGGUCUAAUGAUAAAAGAUGGCUUCGGCUAUUACUUAAGGAUGGGCCCGCGGCGCAUUAGCUAGUUGGUGGGGUAACAGCCUACCAAGGCAACGAUGCGUAGCCGACCUGAGAGGGUGAUCGGCCACAUUGGGACUGAGACACGGCCCAAACUCCUACGGGAGGCUG
rnacentral:rRNA from 1 species